GCUCCCCGCGCCCGCCCAAGCCGCCCAACCUGGACGCAGCGCUGGCGCUGCUCCGCAAGGAGAUGGUUGGCCUUCGGCAACUAGAUAUGUCAUUACUAUGUCAACUGUUCUCUCUCUAUGAAUCAAUUCAAGAAUACAAAGGUGCAUGCCAAGCUGUCUCAAAUGCAGACUGUACAUAUGCUCUGGAAAAUGGCUUUUUUGAUGAAGAGGAGGAGUAUUUUUAGAAACAGCACCACUGUCAUUGGCGGGGACAAAAGCCCACGGAUUGUUUUUUCACUCCCUGUAACACUUCCAAGAAGAUCUGGAAACUGUGGAUUUCUCUUCUUGAGGGGAACAUUUGGCUACCUGAAGUGCGUUGAACUCAUGUUUCUGGCAGGCUGUCAGUGCAAGUUACUCAUCUAAAUGCCACUUUAGGAAGGUGAUGUCCUGUAACUUUCAGGAUUCCUCAGAGAUUCAUGUUUGACAAGAAAUGUCAGUUUAAAUUUCAGGCUGGAUUUUUCCAAUUUACAGAUGUUGGCAACUGACUUUAUAACUGUAAUGUUGAUCAUACAAGAAGUCAAUGACAUCCUGAGUGUAAUAGCUUUUCAGGGGGUAAAAGACUUCACUAUGGUGUAACUAACCAGGGGUGAUAUGUAUUUGUCAACAGUACUGAUAAAUCCUCUUUGAACAGGUGUUUCAAUACACCUGGUCCAAGCCAUAUUAAGCUAAUCUGCUUUUAUCAGCUGUGCUACUUACCUCCAGUUCUACACUGGGUGGAUUGUUUACACAGUUUCUUAGAUACUUGUCUUCUAUAAAAACGUAUGUUUUGAAGCAUUUUUUCUUUUUUCUAAUCCAAAGGUUGUAUAUAAGCUAGCGGAUGUUACCUGUAUUUUUUUUCUGUUCAGCUACCUAACUUUCCUAGUCCUGCCAAAUAGCGUUAACUUUUAUAUUACCUUCUUGGGGUUUUUUUUUCUUUUUGCAUAAACAUAGGUCUAUGACCUGCUAAAACAUGUUUCAAAAAGGGUUGCUUAGCUUUUGCUGUAUUAAAGAGUAAAAGCAUAGGUUCAGACAUUGUCUCUCUGCCACUAUGUGGCUUGUAAUAGCCCAAACUCUUAAAUGCAGGUGUUUUCAAACGUAUGAAGUAUAAGGAAUCUCUCAAUAUGAAAAAAAUGGGACAAACUGCAAUAUUUUGUACUGGAUGACCUUUGUUUCUGGAAGGUAGUCUACAACUUUUUAAGAAGAAUUGCAAAAUAAGUGUUUUGGGGCCACAGUUAUAAAUAAAAGCUCUUUACUCUAUCAUAUUUGCUUGAAAGAAAGCUAAGCUUAAAUGUACAUGUUUAUUUUGUUGUUAAAGCACAGUACUGGUAAAGCAGUCAGCAAAAUUUUUGAUCUUUAUAGUGUAUGCAACAGUCAGUUAACUUACAAUAUACCUAAAAGUAGCCAACUAUCUUACCAUGCGUCUUGCUCUAUUCUGAAAUGAAACUGCAGUACUCAGCACAUGAUGUGGGUUUCUCUUACUUCAAAACUUAAUAGUCAGCAUGCUGUGAAAUUUGGUGUUAGAAUCUUGACACAAGCUAAUAAUUAAGGGCUUUAACUUCAAAGGAUCUUUUUUUUUUUUUUUUGUAUGGCUUAUAUGCCAGGCAUAGAUUCAACAUGCAGCGAGGAUCAAAUUCUGUAGUAGCACCUCAACUAUUAAAAAAAAAAAAAAAAGCUAGUGAAAAAAUGGGUUGCAAUGACAAAAGCAGAGGUAGCUUAGGACAGGUGUUUUUGCUUAGUUUCCUUUAAACUGACAGCAGUGGAAUCUAAACAUCAAAGUGAAGACUUUGGGGUGCAAUGUGUGUGUGGCUUUUUAAAUUAGUCUAUGACAGAUUCCUUACAUAGGUUUUAGAAAACCUGUUCUGGCCUAGUUAGUUCUUUAAUGUAGGCCUAUUUAAAAUUAAUGAACAAACUUCACUGAUCUGGUAAAAGGUAAUCUAAAUGGCUGCUACUUAUGUGUCUGCCCAUAGAUAAUGCUCACAGUUGUACAUUUGGAUUCCAUGUUUAGCCUUCCAAAUGUUAAGUGUAACAUUCUUUAAUUAUACUUUCUGUGCUCUUGACAUGUUAAAAAAACUCUUCUAUUUAAUUCAGACCCCCUCUUCCUGCCCCAUCCCUGAAAAUAAAAAACUAUGGUGCUUAGCAUAAGAUGUAACAGCUGUGGGUAUGUUUUUGUUAAUGUAAAUCUAAAAAAAAUACAUUCUAGGCAUGGUCACCUCAUACACUGAAAAGGCCAUGUUUAGAUGAUGGUGAAAUAUUUUUUUCUGCAUGUGCUCACAAAAAACUAGGGCUGGAAUAAACCUAAGAAGUUAUUUCAUCCAGUCCAGUAGAGGUGGUAAAUCCUUACAGCUGGACAGGUGUCAGGUUUUUCAUUCCUAAAUUUGGAUUACACUCUCCUUGUCCUGCCUUCUUAGGGCAGUUCGUGUUAACUGGUAACAAGAUAAUGUCAAAAGGACCAGCACUUUUUUUUUUUGUACUAACUGGAUGGGCUUUCAUGCGAAGGCAAUUUAUAUAUUCCAAGACUUCAAAAAAGAAAAAUAUAAAUGUUCAUUUUAUUUCUAAGUUGGGGGGUUCAUUUACUAAUGCAGAAACAUCUUAUGAGGGCAGUAUUCCAUUAACAACUCACCAUGCCCAGAAAAAAAAAUCACUGUAAAAUAUCAGUUUUUACAUUCAAUUGACAUAAGGUUGCAUUGGUCACAAGUUAAAAAGGAGUGAGUAGACCUACGGUCACUAUGAUCCAUUUUGGUUUUACAGAGUACGAAAACAAGGGCAGAAUCCAAAAAUAUCAUAUUAUUACUGUCUAGUAGCUUUGAAAUGUUCUGAGGCUUUAAAUGCAGAAAACAAAGUGAAGCUUCUCUUGGCACUCCUUCCCCUUUUGUAAGCAGGUCUCCAUGAAGAUGGGCAGUUGCUAUGCACUCAGCAGCGGUGGAUGUGUUUUUCAGACUAGAUCCAGCUUUUCCUGAAUUUCACUGGGAAUUUUGCCAUUGAUAUUAAUGGGAGCUGGACCAAACCCUCAGUGCAGGAGUAUUUCUUGAGCUCCAAACUAAUGUUCAGUCUAGCUGGAUUAUUUCCAGGAAUCUGAAUGACUUGCAUGAAAACUCUGACAGACUACAGUAACUAGUAGGAGGUGCUCACCCAAACACUUUAAAUCCCCCACAUAUAUUUCUUGCUGUGUAAUGCAGUGAAAUUUGUAGGUAUCCAUUUAAUGAGAGGCAAGGUUUUUUGGGUGUUUUUUUUGUGAUUACCUUUUAUUGGACCAAAUGUAUAGGUAGCAGAGAGGUUUGACAAGUUUUUGGGCACACGCUGCUGUUCCUCUGAUCUCCCUAAAGAAAACUCUUAUUUCCUUGAGCAACCAUUUAAAUAGCAUAUAAAAAUCUGUUGGUUAUCAUAUUUUCUCAUGUACCACACUGUAGAAUUCCUAACAAUCUGUUGUGGAACCCAGUUUGAAAACCACUGUCUUAAGAUGAGGAGUUGCCUAAUAAGAGUGGUGUCUUUUACAAGUUUCACUAUAGAUGAUGUAGAGUAACCUGGUGCCUUACGACAGCAUUCUAGGAUAUUUCCCAAAAGAGACCAAUACAAGAGAGAAUACUUGAGCAACAGUGACAAGCACUGUAUUGGCAUAUCUGGUAGUAGAAAUUACUUCAGACUGGGUUUAUUUGCAUCUUGCUCAGGUUUAAGCAUAAAUCACCGGUCAGGAUUCAGAACAAUACAUACUUCUACAUUUGGUGGGGGGCAAGGGGCAGGGACAGGGAAGCAUUUCCCACACAGAAGUACAUGUGUUUGAUGAGUUUAGUAAAACAGAUUUAGUAUCUUUCUACCAUGAAAAGAAGAGCUGUUUCUCUCCUGUUCUCUGUAGUUAAAAAUAUAUGACAUUUCCUGGUCAAUAAUUUACAACCCUAUCCAGCUUCUGCUAUACUCAAGGAGAGUUUUAGUGGGAGUUUACAGUAGGCCUAUUGUCAAAACGAUAACAACCAGUA